UCGUCUAUCAAUCCAGAUCAUGCAUUUCUAUUUCAAAUGUUAAAUUAAUCAAAUCCAAUUAUAUUCAUAUAGAAUGAGUCAAAUAGCACGGAUACUUCUGUAAUAACAGUUGGUAAGGGAAAACUGUCAUUCUUGUCGCGUUUCUUUCUGAAGUAUAUGUCGAAACAAAGCGCUGCAAAUUGUUCUUCAAUUGUGCGUGGAACAAAUUUACUACACAUAAUCACCCAUGACAUUUUAC